AAUCAUACACGGUUCACCUAUU
rnacentral:miRNA from 4 species